AUGAUUUGUGUAAGAGCAGCAGGACAGGCUAUGUACAAAGGUAAGACAAUUCAUCUAACAAAGAGGCCGUGGAGAGAGUUAUCAAGGAAGACAGCCUUCAAUAAUUACUUUACCAUCACUCUUUUCCAGAAAGGGGUGGAAUUAUCAGGAUGGAAUCAAGGAUGCUUCCAAACAGAGGGAAUAUCUCAAGCUAUGACUCAGAGAGUUUUCCCCACAUCGUUAAUGGUAUGGGAAUUAGGAGCAGGUCAUGUGACUCACAUGGCUCACCAUAUAAUUCCUUCUGGAGAGCAGCUACCACUGCAUAUAAUCGUUGUACUACUCCUUGGGGCCACUCGAGUACAUAGUUUGUGGGGAGAAUGAUACUUUUCUUGCUUGGACGACUCCUUCCCCUGCAGGAAAAUCAAGGUAAAAUAGAGAAAAGGACCAUAUAAUAGGAUGAAAAGUCUGCAUUGUGGAAUUAUACUUUUUUAAUCUUACAGCUUUUAUUUAACAUUUAGGAGUUUGGGAAUGUGUAUGCUUCAUUCCCCAAUUUCUCCCAAUGUACUGGGAAAGCCAACAUCACUUUAGCUUGGAACACUAUUUGGUAGAUCAUGUUUGAUAACAUAUUUGAGAGUCCCAGGCCAGCAUUUUGAUUCCUGUGUGAUAAAUAAAGGUAAACACAUUUUUUUUCUCAACUCUCUCUCUGUGUAGAUAGACACAUAUAGGUUACUUUUUUUUUUCUCUCUAGCACGUGUAUAUGCCUCAGGCCUAAAAAGAAUUUAUCUCAAUGAAAAAAGCUCUUUUACUUUUCUUCCAUUUCAGAAACUAUUGCCAGGAUACAAUGACGAGCAAUUCUUUUCAUUAAAAUACUGAACUCUGCUCAUCUGUUUUGAUUUUUAAUUGUAUCCUUUACAACAUGAUGGCAAAGUGCUUUCUUCUCUAGCAUCGGCCAAGAAAGAUGUGUAGAGACAGGUACAUAAAAGGGUAGCCUGACUGUCUUGUCCAUUUGGGAACUAUGUCUUGCCAUCUGCUUUUAGAUGUAUUCUGUUGCCUGUUAAAAAUCCAUGUACCCUCUAGCCACAGGUUCCACACAGAGCUUCUAAUAAUGUGAACUUUGCUCUAGGAUUUCUCUGUUGUGCAUGAAGUAUUCCCUUCCUGCUAAGGUCACCCUUCUUGCUCCAGGUGCUGAUUUUUUGUGCUGCUUCUGAUUUACUUAUAUUGAUAGUGGAGUCCUUGGUGUGUGUUAUAUUGAAAUAUUACUAAUGUAUGAACUGUAAUAUUAAAUUUCCAAUCUAAUCAAUCAAUGGCAUAUAUAUGCAGUAGAUGCUUGGCUAGUAAAAAGAUUAAUUACCAUGUGUAAUGAAAACUAACUCUCUAUAAGGUGAAAUAUUGCAUGUCUCUCACAGAAAGAUGGAAGUCUGAACACUGUGUUAAGCUAAUGACUACUGCUGCCAUUCAGCCAUAUGGAUUGCCUUUAAGACAAACCGAAAUGAAGAUUAAAGGCAUGUAAAAUCAACUCUCUAUUAAAGCAGUUAGGGCUUUUCUCCAGAUUCUACAGGAAAAUUAUGCAAUCUGUUGUGAAACCAGGCACUUGUCUCCCAGAUGGUGCCCAGAAUCUAUCUAAGCAAACACUUCUUCCCUGUUCUGCGAAACAAACUGGGCAUAUUUUUUAUUUUCUGUGCUUGAUUAUGCAUCUGAAGACAUUUACACGGCAAGGACCUUGUAGAGUUGUUGUAGAUUUGGAUUGUAAAACUUCACAAUAUUGUGGUGUUAUACAUUUUUGAGAGCAAACUUGAAGUUAUAAAGUAAAAGAUGAUGUCAUUUUCUGAGAUGUACUAUGUCCCUGAUUUUUUAGCUUUCUUUUUUCCCAAAAAUAUUCUGCAUGCUGCUAUUCAGAAAGUAAGGCCAUGAAUCUCUCAGAUUGUUGAUAAUCUCCUGUUAAUUAAUGUGGACAUGAUUGCCUUUAUGGAGGCCUAUUGUAAAGUAAAUUAUUGGUAAUAGGGUACAAGAUUUUAAUUAUUAUUGGGAUGAUUUUGUACAGAAAGCUUUUUAUCAUUUGAAUUAAUGCCUGAAACAGUUAUAACUUUUUUCUAUAUGUACAGCAAAUAUUCUUGCUUUAUAUAUACGAAAUCCUGAUUGGUGAACACUAUUGGGCAUAAUGAUUAGGUUAAAUUCUCCUCGACAUCUUUUCCACCUAUUUUACCUGGGUCUCCUUGCUUUCUUCAUAUUCAGCAUUCAAUCUUGUCUUUCUUUGGUUUGACUAACUCCUUGCAUCCUCAUGCUCACCUCAGAUUACACAAAGAGUUUCUCGUCCCUUAGAACUGAGUUAGGUACAUGUUAUUUUCUUCUAAGGUGCCUGGAAUUUACCUGUCUCAGACAUAGCACAUUGUCUGCUGCAAAAAGCCAGUCUAUAAAGAAGACAAAUGAACUGUAUUUAAACUUCGUCUUCUAUUUCUUCAGCCUUUAGCCAGCAAAAUUUUGAUCCAUGAUAAGCACUCAUAUAUUUUUGUUGCUUGCUUGCUUGACUGGCUAUAUAUCAAUGAAUAAUGAAUGAAUAAAUGAAUGCAUU
rnacentral:lncRNA from 1 species